CAGGGCUGCCUGCUCAGUGUUGGGUGGAGCCACAUGCCUGUCCAGGGCUGGGUCCACCCUGUGUGGACUGAGGCCACCAUGUGCACGGUUUUCAGCUAUGCCUCAUUCGCUUGCUGUGUGAAUCUGGGCUGCAGGGCCUGCUGCUGUGUGCCACAGGCCAGUGCCCUGCAGUGCAAUUGUACCUGAGGACCCAAGGUGGCCAGGGAAGCCCCAGGUGCGACUUGGCAGGGGAAGCAGGGGCUGUGGACGGAUGGAGAGCUGUCAUGUGGAAAGGCAGUGUGUCCCCAGGCCGUGGCCCAGCCUCCAACACCCCCAAGUCCCCUCCAGGCCUCUCCAGACCAGGCCCACCACAUACUGCCUGUGCAACCUCGGAAACCUCCUGGGAACAUCCACCAUAUGCCAGGCAUAGUGUCAGACAGGAGGGGACAGAGAAAAACAAGAUCAACAACCGCCCUGCCCUUGUGGAGCUGGCGUUCUAGUACCGGAGACAAAACAAGGUGCUUCCAAGGAGGAAGCCGUGCUCAUCAGUCACUCCCACCCCCCAGACCCAGAGCCAGCUGAUUCCUCCUGCAUCCUGCUCACAGCUCCAGGAAAGCGUCCUGGUGGGGAAAGUCAGUGAAACACCAGGUGGCCUAAGACACACACAGUAGAUGAGGGAGUAUGGUUGAAACAAGACUUGUCCUGAGUUGAUAUGGAAGCUGGGUAAUGGAUACAUCCACCUUCAUUAUAUGAUUUUCUCUAUAUUAGUAAGAAAACAAAAGCUUUUAUUAAAAAUUUUAAACAUGAUAUAAAUCUCUAGCUUAAGUGUGAGUCCCCAUUCUUUCACCUCCCAGGGUUAACUGCAAUGAACGGUUAGGUGUAUGUGCCCCUGACCUUCUCCAUGUAAACACUAACUGUGAAUAUUGCUAACACACACACUCUUAAAACAAGGAUGAGCUACUACAAUGCACACCAUUUCUCCAACAGCUUUUCACUUCACCAUAUUUUGAGAUGGAUGGCCACGUCAACACUAUCUCAGUCUUUAACAACUAGCCCCAUGGUACUCCCCUGUAUCAAAGAGCCAUAAUUUAUUCAUCCGAUCCUCUAAUGAUAGACAAUUGGAGUAUCUCCAAUUUUUGCUAUUAAGAACAAUGAUGGAAUGAACAUCCUUGUACAUAAUAUCUGUGUACCUGUGUGAGCAAUUUUACAACCUAUCUUUCUAGAAGUGGAAUCACUAUGUCAAAGUGGUCACAGACUUAAAAUUUAAAUAACAUGUCCAACUUGCCCUUCUGGUGGACUUUCUGUGUCAAGUGCACUACAUUCUCUCCUAGUGCACAUCUGGAGACUAUUGUCAUUUGGUGCCUGCUGUAGAAAAGCCUCAUGGCGUCACAGCUGGAAAGGGCCUCCGAGAUCUUGUGGUCUUGCUUCCAGGGAAGGGUGGGGCCCAGCCCCCGAUGCUGUCAGGGCCACGUGCAGCUCCCUGGGCUGGAGGUUGUGUAGAGCAGUGCUCACGAAGAUACUGCCCAUGUCUGAAUCCCAGGCUUACCAUUUACUGUUGUAUGACCUUGAAUACUUGCCUUGUCCGUGCCUCAGUUUUCUCAUCUGUAAGCUGAGGAUAAUACUAAUUCUGGGGUGGCAACUGGAAAGGGGUUAGGAGAUUUUUCUUGAAGCUACAUUAACAAAGUAUAUAUUUAUUUGGGGUGGCUUUCAGGGGAUUGAUGGAUGAUGGGGGGUGGGCACUAAGGACUCCCAUCAGACACCACCAGCGCUGCCAGAGCUAAUUUCAAAUGAUGACAGCUGGACUUAGUGAGAUUCGACGUGACGAAUGCCCAGCACACGGCACACAGCCUGGCACACUGUCAGUGCUCGAUGGUUGUGAAUUCUUGAAUGCUGACAGGUGCUGUCUGGGACAGGGAGACCAACAUUUCAGAGAGACUGUCCAGGAGAGGGAGGCCCGAGCAACAGGAAAAGAGGGGACCCAAGAAACAGCCUAAUCCAGCCCGCCACUUACUACUUAAAUAAAGUUUGAUUGUAACACAGCUGCGCCCCUUCAUUAUGUAAUGUCUAUGGAUGCUUGCACUUGACAAUAUCAAAGCUGAGUAGUUUCGACAGAGACCAUAUGGCCUGACAAGGCUAAAAUAUUUAGUAUCUGGCCCUUUACAGAAAAAAUCUGCCAACCCCUGGCAUAGGGGUUAUAGGCAUACUAAUACAUGCUGAUAGUUCUUGAGCUCACACCGUGUUUCAGGGACUGUUCUAAGCACGUCACAUAUAUAAAUUUCUUUAGUCCUCACAAUACUCGUAUGACAUGGCUACUAUUUAUGGUAGCUAGUCUCAAUGGUGGCCCCAGUGAACCACGUCUCCUGGGGCUGACGCCUCUGUGGGCCCCCCACCUCGAGUCUGGGACAUCCUGUGCCGUGUGCUGACUAAUGGCAUGCGGUCGAGUGCCAGGCCUGGCAUUAAGGAGGAUGGGUACUUCUGCUUCUUUGCUCUGGGGAACACUGAGGUGCUGCACGCAGAGCAGAAGGGGAAGCCAUGGGGAAAGGAGAGGCUCUGAGGCUGCAAGGAAAGGACGAAGGUCCAGCCAGCCCUGUCUCAGUCCAGCCUCCAGUGACCUCACCCAGCUACCAUGCAGCCACACUUACAGCAAGCAAGACCAGCAGGACUGCCGGGCAGAGCCCAGUCCACUCUCAGAACCAGAGAGACAAGAAAAUAGUGCUCAAGCCACUCUGCUUUGUGGGGUGGGGUGGUUCUGCAGCAAUAGCUGGCUGAGACACACCACACCAGAGCCUUCGCCUUUCCACC
rnacentral:lncRNA from 10 species